UACGUAGGUGACAAGCGUUGUCCGGAUUUACUGGGCGUAAAGAGCGCGCAGGCGGUCGUGCAAGUCGCGUGUGAAAGCCCCUGGCUCAACUGGGGAGGGUCACGCGAUACUGCUCGACUCGAAGGCAGGAGAGGGAAGUGGAAUUCCCGGUGUAGUGGUGAAAUGCGUAGAUAUCGGGAGGAACACCAGUGGCGAAGGCGACUUCCUGGCCUGUUCUUGACGCUGAGGCGCGAAAGCUAGGGUAGCAAACGGG
rnacentral:rRNA from 1 species